AUUCCAGCUCCAAUAGCGUAUAUUAAAGUUGUUGCAGUUAAAAAGCUCGUAGUUGAAUUUCGGGGUCAGUAGGCUGGUCGUGCCACAGGUAUGUACUGGUCUUACUGAUUCCUCCUUCCUGAUGAACCGUAAUGCCAUUAAUUUGGUGUUGCGGGGAAUCUGGACUGUUACUUUGAAAAAAUUAGAGUGUUUAAAGCAGGCUAACGCUUGAAUACAUUAGCAUGGAAUAAUGAAAUAGGACGAUCGAUCCUAUUUUGUUGGUUUCUAGGAUUGACGUAAUGAUUAAUAGGGAUAGUUGGGGGCAUUAGUAUUCAAUUGUCAGAGGUGAAAUUCUUGGAUUUAUUGAAGACUAACUACUGCGAAAGCAUUUGCCAAGGAUGUUUUCAUUAAUCAAGAACGAAAGUUAGGGGAUCGAAGACGAUCAGAUACCGUCGUAGUCUUAACCAUAAACUAUGCCGACUAGGGAUCGGAUGA
rnacentral:rRNA from 1 species